GUGCCAGCCGCCGCGGUAAUACGGAGGGUGCAAGCGUUAUCCGGAUUCACUGGGUUUAAAGGGUGCGUAGGCGGGCAGGUAAGUCAGUGGUGAAAUCUCCGAGCUUAACUUGGAAACUGCCAUUGAUACUAUCUGUCUUGAAUACUGUGGAGGUAAGCGGAAUAUGUCAUGUAGCGGUGAAAUGCUUAGAUAUGACAUAGAACACCUAUUGCGAAGGCAGCUUGCUACACAGAAAUUGACGCUGAGGCACGAAAGCGUGGGGAUCAAACAGGAUUAGAUACCCUGGUAGUCCACGCCCUAAACGAUGGAUACUCGACAUCAGCGAUACACUGUUGGUGUCUGAGCGAAAGCAUUAAGUAUCCCACCUGGGAAGUACGACCGCAAGGUUGAA
rnacentral:rRNA from 1 species